AACGAACGCUGGCGGCAUGCCUAACACAUGCCAGUCGAACGAGACCUUCGGGUCUAGUGGCGCACGGGUGCGUAACGCGUGGGAACCUGCCCUUAGGUUCGGAAUAACUCCCCGAAAGGGGUGCUAAUACCGGAUAAUGUCUUCGCACCAAAGAUUUAUCGCCUUUGGAUGGGCCCGCGUUGGAUUAGCCAGUUGGUAGGGUAAAAGCCUAUCAAGGCGACGAUCCAUAGCUGGUCUGAGAGGAUGAUCAGCCACACUGGGACUGAGACACGGCCCAGACUCCUACGGGAGGCAGCAGUGGGGAAUAUUGGACGAUGGGCGAAAGCCUGAUCCAGCAAUGCCGGGUGAGUGAUGAAGGCCUUAGGGUUGUAAAGCUCUUUUAGCCGGGAUGAUAAUGACAGUGCCGGGAGAAUAAGCACCGGCUAACUACGUG
rnacentral:rRNA from 1 species